GUAAACUUUUUUUGUUAAAGGGGUAUUGAAAAUGAGUAUUUUUCAAAAUAGCGCCCUCUACAGGUCAAAUAUUUUUAGUGCAUGUAAACUGAAUGCAACUGUAAACUCUAAAAUGGGAGACAGACUCACAGUGAAGCCUUUAAAAUCGGAUGUACCUGCAGCCUUUGUAAAAAGAUUCACGAUAAAGGAUUGAUCACAGGAGAUCUAUAAUGAAUGCAAUAGAUAGUUGGAAGUUUCUUGCAGAAAUCCUGGCAUGACCUUUGGCUGCAUUCUGCAUGGUGGAGAGUGCAGUGUGAUCUGAAUACAUGGUUGCACUAUGCAGUAAAAGGAAUUCUGCAGUUGGAAUUACCAUUGACUGCGAAAUGUGGAGGCAAUCUGGUGAAUAUUGAAAACCCAAAGUAACUACUACUUCUCCAGCAGCAAGGGCUAUAUGAUUUCACAGUUGGUGGAGAUGUCCUAAACU